rnacentral:rRNA from 1 species
UACGUAGGGUGCAAGCGUUGUCCGGAAUUAUUGGGCGUAAAGGGCGCGUAGGCGGCCGCGUAUGUCCGGUGUGAAAGCCCACCUCUUAAAGGUGGAAUUGCAUCGGAAACUACGUGGCUAGAGUGUCGGAGAGGAUGGUGGAAUUCCUGGUGUAGAGGUGAAAUUCGUAGAUAUCAGGAGGAACACCGGUGGCGAAGGCGGCCAUCUGGACGACUACUGACGCUGAGGCGCGAAAGCGUGGGGAUCAAACAGG